rnacentral:rRNA from 1 species
UUUGACCUCGGAUCAGGUGGGGAUACCCGCUGAACUUAAGCAUAUCAAUAAGCGGAGGA